UACGUAGGGCGCAAGCGUUGUCCGGAAUUAUUGGGCGUAAAGAGCUCGUAGGCGGUUUGUCGCGUCUGCUGUGAAAACUCGAGGCUCAACCUCGGGCUUGCAGUGGGUACGGGCAGACUAGAGUGCGGUAGGGGUGACUGGAAUUCCUGGUGUAGCGGUGGAAUGCGCAGAUAUCAGGAGGAACACCGAGUGGCGAAGGCAGGUCACUGGGCCGCAACUGACGC
rnacentral:rRNA from 1 species